rnacentral:lncRNA from 1 species
CGCCCGCCGCCGCCGCGCCCGCCGCCGCCCCGCCAAUCCCAACCGCCAUCUUCCGCCGCGCUGCCGAGACUGCGGCGCGCGGGCAGGCGGGCGGGGGGCGGGGAGAGGCCGCACCGCCGGGAAGGGGCGGAAGAACCCGAGCGCCUUCGGCAAGGGUAGGGGGGUGAGCGCCCAUCCCCUCCCCGGACAGCCGCUUGGCCCGAGUGAGCAUGCGCAAGGUUGCCUGCUUGCUCUGCAAAAGAUGAGGUGCGACCAAAAUGUGAAAAGCAAUGUAAGAAACAAGAAAAAGCAGCAUUUAAGGCCAGCAUUUCCAUGGAUUUGUCCGUCAAUCCACAGUUCAACAAGGAUGGGAAAGAAAAUAUCACGCUACUUACUAAAUUUUGGUGGGAUCCUCCAGCUGCUCCUCAUCUUCCCAAGGCACAUCAGAGAUAAUGUGAAUUAGCAUUAAGUCAUGUCCAUGUCUUUUCAGUGUAAGAAAAACAUAUAUUCUGAGCAGGAGGAUCAAUUGUAAUACUUCAUGACAUAGAAACUGGGGAGUGAUACUGGGCAUCCAGAGUUAAUCCCUGAAGUCCUGCUGGUAGGGCACAGUGUUCCAUUGACCUUGUUUCUUCCACUGAAGGUGGGGAGAAGUGUCAUGAUGCCUGCCAAGAAUAUCCGUCUUGUCAGCAACCUCCGCAGCAAAUAUCUUGCUGUGCCUGACUGGUGCACGCUGUCACCAGCACGUCUAACUUCAUUUUGCGUCACAGGAGCCAGAGAAAAGGAGGAGGUGGCAGCAGUGAGAGGUGAGGUCUUAACCUGUUCCCCACCUCUGCCUCCAUACCCGAUCUGGAUAAGCGAGAGUAGAUUGCACUCUGGAAUUGAAGGUGAACAAUUA